rnacentral:rRNA from 1 species
CGGGCUUGCGCGGUCUAUAAUGCAGUCGAGCGGAUGAUGCUGCUUGCUCCUGGAUUCAGCGGCGGACGGGUGAGUAAUGCCUACGAAUCUGCCUGGUAGUGGGGGAUAACGUCCGGAAACGGGCGCUGGUACCGCAUAUUACCUGAGGGAGAAAGUGGGGGAUCUUCGGACCUCACGCUAUCAGAUGAGCCUAGGUCGGAUUAGCUAGUUGGUGGGGUAAAGGCCUACCAAGGCGACGAUCCGUAACUGGUCUGAGAGGAUGAUCAGUCACACUGGAACUGAGACACGGUCCAGACUCCUACGGGAGGCAGCAGUGGGGAAUAUUGGACAAUGGGCGAAAGCCUGAUCCAGCCAUGCCGCGUGUGUGAAGAAGGUCUUCGGAUUGUAAAGCACUUUAAGUUGGGAGGAAGGGCAGUAAGUUAAUACCUUGCUGUUUUGACGUUACCAACAGAAUAAGCACCGGCUAACUUCGUGCCAGCAGCCGCGGUAAUACGAAGGGUGCAAGCGUUAAUCGGAAUUACUGGGCGUAAAGCGCGCGUAGGUGGUUCAGCAAGUUGGAUGUGAAAUCCCCGGGCUCAACCUGGGAACUGCAUCCAAAACUACUGAGCUAGAGUACGGUAGAGGGUGAUGGUAAUUUCCUGUGUAGCGAUGAAAUGCGUAGAUGUAGGAAGGAACACCAGUGACGAAUGCGACCACCUGACUGAUACUGACACUGACGUGCGAAAGCGUGAGAAGCAAACAGGAUUAAGAUACGCUGUAGUCCACGCCGUAAACGAUGUCGACUAGCCGUGGAUCCAUGAAGUCUAGUGGCGCAGCUACCCCAUUAUUCGACUGCUGGGAGUACUGACCGCAACGUUCAAAUCAAUGACUGGACGGUGACCCUCAAGGGUGGACAUUGGCUACUCGAGAACGGAGACUUUACUGGCUUGCAUGCAGAACUUCCGAGAGGACUUGGGCCUUCGGGAACUCAGACACAGGUGCUGCAUGGCUGUCGUCAGCUCGUGUCGUGAGAUGUUGGGUUAAGUCCCGUAACGAGCGCAACCCUUGUCCUUAGUUACCAGCACCUCGGGUGGGCACUCUAAGGAGACUGCCGGUGACAAACCGGAGGAAGGUGGGGAUGACGUCAAGUCAUCAUGGCCCUUACGGCCAGGGCUACACACGUGCUACAAUGGUCGGUACAAAGGGUUGCCAAGCCGCGAGGUGGAGCUAAUCCCAUAAAACCGAUCGUAGUCCGGAUCGCAGUCUGCAACUCGACUGCGUGAAGUCGGAAUCGCUAGUAAUCGUGAAUCAGAAUGUCACGGUGAAUACGUUCCCGGCCCUCGUACACACCGCCCGUCACUCCAUGGGAGUGGGUUGCCCAGAAGUAGCUAGUCUAAACUCAAGGAAGACGGCUACCACGGAGUGAUCAUGACUCGGCGAAGUCGUAGAAUUUGGCCUGGCUC